rnacentral:rRNA from 1 species
AUUGAACGCUGGCGGCAGGCCUAACACAUGCAAGUCGAGCGGAUGAAGGGAGCUUGCUCCUGGAUUCAGCGGCGGACGGGUGAGUAAUGCCUAGGAAUCUGCCUGGUAGUGGGGGAUAACGUCCGGAAACGGGCGCUAAUACCGCAUACGUCCUGAGGGAGAAAGUGGGGGAUCUUCGGACCUCACGCUAUCAGAUGAGCCUAGGUCGGAUUAGCUAGUUGGUGGGGUAAAGGCCUACCAAGGCGACGAUCCGUAACUGGUCUGAGAGGAUGAUCAGUCACACUGGAACUGAGACACGAUCCAGACUACUACGGGAGGCAGCAGUGGGGAAUAUUGGACAAUGGGCGAAAGCCUGAUCCAGCCAUGCCGCGUGUGUGAAGAAGGUCUUCGGAUUGUAAAGCACUUUAAGUUGGGAGGAAGGGCAGUAAGUUAAUACCUUGCUGUUUUGACGUUACCAACAGAAUAAGCACCGGCUAACUUCGUG